GCAUUAAUGGGGUAGUGGUAACCUGGGUCGUUGCCAUGUCGUAGUGCCAAGACUCGACCCGCCGGGGGUUCGAUUCCCUCUUAAUGCA